rnacentral:lncRNA from 1 species
UUUGCACCUUGCCUGAAGGCUACUGGCUAAGCAUAURUCUUAGCAAAAUGACCACGGAGCAGAUUUCUCCCCUCCAGCCUUGCAGGACGGKUAAGAGCAGAGCUGUAACGCAGGCUGUAGUGUGGGAGCCGCUCUACAAUUCCCUGCUCUGCAAUUUUUGUGCCUUCCCCCUGGCACGGGGCUGCUUUCCUGAGUGCAAUACUGUGCUUACCUUGCAGGGGAUGGCAGGAACUGGCCUUCCCGGCACUGCUGGCUUGAAGGGAGAAGAAGGAGAACAGGGGGUAAUGGGUCCUCCAGGAGUACCAGGACCAAAGGUGGGUACUGAAAGAUAUUCAAAUAGGCUGAACCUGAGUCUCUGUGCCUCCUGCUCAGGUGCCAAGGAAAGCAUCUGGCUCUAACCAUCAUUGCAGGCUGCAGGAACAUUGCCUCCUUACUCAAAAGUGAUGAAAGGAAAUAAUUUUACCUGUCAGCAGUCACUGACCUGUGGAACUUGUUGCUGCAGGAUGUUGCAGAGACCUGGAAUGGUAGCAAGAUGCAGUAUUUUAAUAAAUUAAUAAAUGACGUUUUUGUGGCUGGGAAG